GCCAAUGCCGCGGGAGGAGCCUGUGACUAUGGCCACUCGGUCUUGCAGUGGCAGAGGAGAGGGCGGCGGCGGCUGUGGUGGGUUGGAACCAGUGGUAGCGUUUGUAGUGGCCAUUUACGUCAACAAUUAUGUACAAGGAACCCACUCGAGCAAAAUCGAAUCACUGUAGCUUGUCAGGGGCUUUACCCGCAAUCCUGAGUAAUUGGUACAAGGAUUUCCAGCAAAAAGAGGUGCUCAGAAACAUGCUGGAGAGCAAUGUGAAGGUACAUGUAAGAGUAAUUUGUCCAAUAGAUGUAUUCUUUACACAAAUCCAAGUGCACCCAAUUUCGUCACAGGUGGGAUCAGGUCCAAAGUGGGGAAAGCUAGAAUUAGAUUGGUGCUAAACAGGUUAAAUUGCUUUAAUAAAGAAUGAAGAAGUACAAGGCAAAACAACUACCAUGAAUAAGAUAAAUUAGAUGGAGCAAAUCAAAAUGACUUCUGAUCAAACAUGCAGACAGAGGAAAGUCAAGAUCAGUUGUGUUGAAUAGCUACAGAAUCUGAAGCAUGCUAUUGGAUAUCCAUGUAAUGCUAUACAUUUUAUGAGUGUCAUGUGCAAUCGCACCUGUAAUUUUCAUUUCUUAGCAUGGCAGGGGUCAAGAUACAGGCAUUUAUAUGAA